rnacentral:rRNA from 1 species
GCUCCGUGAUUCAUAAUAACUUAACGAAUCGCAUGGCCUUGCGCCGGCGAUGGUUCAUUCAAAUUUCUGCCCUAUCAACUUUCGAUGGUAAGAUAGAGGCUUACCAUGGUCUUAACGGGUAACGGGGAAUUAGGGUUCUAUUCCGGAGAGGGAGCCUGAGAAACGGCUACCACAUCCAAGGAAGGCAGCAGGCGCGCAAAUUACCCAAUGCUAAUUCAGCGAGGUAGUGACAAUAAAUACUGAUACGGGGCUCUUUCGGGUCUCGUAAUUGGAAUGAGUACAAUCUAAAUCCCUUAACGAGGAACAAUUGGAGGGCAAGUCUGGUGCCAGCAGCCGCGGUAAUUCCAGCUCCAAUAGCGUAUAUUAAAGUUGUUGCCGUUAAAAAGCUCGUAGUUGAACCUUGGACCUGGCUGAUCUGUCCUCCUAAUCGAGCGCACGGAUUCGGUCGGGUCUUUCCUUCUGGGGAGCCCUAUGCCCUUCACUGGGUGUAGUGGGGAACCAGGACUUUUACCUUGAAAAAAUUAGAGUGUUCAAAGCAGGCCUUUGCUCGAAUACAUUAGCAUGGAAUAAUAGAAUAGGACAUCGGUUCUAUUUUGUUGGUUUCUAGGACCGCUGUAAUGAUUAAUGGGGAUAGUCGGGGGCGUCAGUAUUCAAUUGUCAGAGGUGAAAUUCUUGGAUUUAUUGAAGACUAACUACUGCGAAAGCAUUCGCCAAGGAUGUUUUCAUUAAUCAGUGAACGAAAGUUAGGGGAUCGAAGACGAUCAGAUACCGUCGUAGUCUUAACCAUAAACUAUGCCGACUAGGGAUCGGACGGUGGUUUUUUUAUGCCCCGUUCGGCACCUUACGAGAAAUCAAAGUUUUUGGGCUCGGGGGGGAGUAUGGUCGCAAGGCUGA